rnacentral:lncRNA from 1 species
GUCGUCUUGGAGUCCCGCUGUAAGAAUUUUACCCUUGACUUGACCUUGUGACACCUAUGUGGAAAUGUUUACCUAGUAGUUUUGCUUGGAAAUUUUCAAUGGCUUCAUUGCUGAAGAAAGAGGAACAGAAGCUGUGAAGUCAAACAAGGGAGGAAGUCAUUUUAAGGACACCAGAAAUUGAGACACACCGGAAGUUAACAGCCAACAGGACAUUUCUCACUCCUUCCCCCACCUCUCAACCGUCACAGUCUUCCUGGGCUACAGACGUCGGCUCUCCAUCCACUCCAACACAUUCUCUGCCCUACAGUCAAAGGCAGAGGGCUGGGCACGUGUUAAGAAGUCACAUGGCUGUCAUGCCCAGCUAAUCGAAAGAAAGCAAAGCGACCCAGAAUCCCAUGGAAGAGGGGUCCCAGUGUAGCACCUCCUUCUGUUCCAUCAUGACCUGGACGGGUGGCACUCUCUCAUGAGACGUGAGAAAAAGGCACAAGGUUCGGUGUAGCUGGUGUUCGAGUCACCCGUGUACUACAACAAUCAUCUAUACUGCAGCUCACCACAAGGUGGUA